GCUUAUCACCAUUCCAGAUUGAAUAUACCCGAUCUCGUCUGAUCUCGGAAGUCAAGCAAUCUCGGGCUUGGUUAGUACUUGGAUGGGUGACCGCUUGGAAAUAACAAGUGUGAUAAGCA
rnacentral:rRNA from 1 species